CUUCCAUCGGAGCUGGGUAG
rnacentral:miRNA from 1 species